AUUGAACGCUGGCGGCAGGCCUAACACAUGCAAGUCGAGCGGAUGAGAGGAGCUUGCUUCUCGAUUCAGCGGCGGACGGGUGAGUAAUGCCUAGGAAUCUGCCUGGUAGUGGGGGACAACGUUUCGAAAGGAACGCUAAUACCGCAUACGUCCUACGGGAGAAAGCAGGGGACCUUCGGGCCUUGCGCUAUCAGAUGAGCCUAGGUCGGAUUAGCUAGUUGGUGAGGUAAUGGCUCACCAAGGCGACGAUCCGUAACUGGUCUGAGUGGAUGAUCAGUCACACUGGAACUGAGACACGGUCCAGACUCCUACGGGAGGCAGCAGUGGGGAAUAUUGGACAAUGGGCGAAAGCCUGAUCCAGCCAUGCCGCGUGUGUGAAGAAGGUCUUCGGAUUGUAAAGCACUUUAAGUUGGGAGGAAGGGUUGUAGAUUAAUACUCUGCAAUUUUGACGUUACCGACAGAAUAAGCACCGGCUAACUCUGUGCCAGCCGCCGCGGUAAGAC
rnacentral:rRNA from 1 species